UACAGAGGUCCCAAGCGUUGUUCGGAUUUACUGGGCGUAAAGGGCUCGUAGGCGGCCAACUAAGUCAAACGUGAAAUCCCUCGGCUUAACCGGGGAACUGCGCUUGAUACUGGAUGGCUUGAGAUUGGGAGAGGGAUGCGGAAUUCCAGGUGUAGCGGUGAAAUGCGUAGAUAUCUGGAGGAACACCGGUGGCGAAGGCGGCAUCCUGGACCAACACUGACGCUGAGGAGCGAAAGCCAGGGGAGCAAACGGG
rnacentral:rRNA from 1 species